rnacentral:rRNA from 1 species
UACGUAGGGUGCGAGCGUUAAUCGGAAUUACUGGGCGUAAAGCGUGCGCAGGCGGUUCGCCGUGUCCGAUGUGAAAGCCCCGGGCUUAACCUGGGAAUGGCAUUGGAAACUGGCGGGCUUGAGUGUGGCAGAGGGGGGUGGAAUUCCACGUGUAGCAGUGAAAUGCGUAGAGAUGUGGAGGAACACCGAUGGCGAAGGCAGCCCCCUGGGUCGACACUGACGCUCAUGCACGAAAGCGUGGGGAGCAAACAGG